rnacentral:rRNA from 1 species
CCUACGGGAGGCAGCAGUAGGGAAUCUUCCACAAUGGGCGAAAGCCUGAUGGAGCAACGCCGCGUGGGUGAAGAAGGUCUUCGGAUCGUAAAACCCUGUUGUUAGAGAAGAAAGUGCGUGAGAGUAACUGUUCACGUUUCGACGGUAUCUAACCAGAAAGCCACGGCUAACUACGUGCCAGCAGCCGCGGUAAUACGUAGGUGGCAAGCGUUAUCCGGAUUUAUUGGGCGUAAAGGGAACGCAGGCGGUCUUUUAAGUCUGAUGUGAAAGCCUGCGGCUUAACCGGAGUAGUGCAUUGGAAACGGGGAGACGUGAGUGCAGAAGAGGAGAGUGGAACUCCAUGUGUAGCGGUGAAAUGCGUAGAUAUAUGGAAGAACACCAGUGGCGAAAGAGGCUCUCUGGUCUGUAACUGACGCUGAGGUUCGAAAGCGUGGGUAGCAAACAGGAUUAGAUACCCUGGUAGUC